AGAGGCAGGACAGCCUAGCAGCCAAGCAGCAUUGUCUUCUCGUCCUGAGUCUGGCUUCACUAUUCAUGAGCUGUGUGACUUUCAGCAAGGGCAGCCUGCAUCGGCCUCCCACCUGGGAGCGCGCUGCUGAACGUCUGUCAAGGUGUCAACUCAAACCACAGACACAAGGAACUCCGUCAAGCUUCCACGUAGCUAAUUGAACUUGGUGUGGUGGUGGAGGGAGGGGAUGGAAAAUCACAGAUCUCCGAAUUUCUGAUUCCGACCAUAUACAUGCUGGCCAGGGAAGAGAAGGCUCUGGAUCCUGAAGGACAAUGCUCCAAAUCAGAGGACAGAACUUUCUUCUUCAGCAACACCUUUCAUACAGCGAUCUCCAAGCCCACGGCUCCCCAGGGCCCAUCAGCUCAGUCCCUUCUGCUAUGCAAGAUUCUGAGUCAGCCCACAGCAUGAAUAAUAAUUGACGGCCAACGACA